rnacentral:rRNA from 1 species
GGGUCCACCCAUUGGUCAGGCUUAAUUGUCUGCACUGGUGAGAUGGAUCUCUACCUUCUGAGGAACUUUCAUGCCAUUUAUUUAGUGUGAUGGGAAAUCAGGACUGUUACUUUGAAAAAAUUAGAGUGUUUAAAGCAGGCUCACGCUUGAAUACGUUAGCAUGGAAUAACGAAAUAGGACGUUUGAUUUUAUUUUGUUGGUUUCUAGGAUCGACGUA